rnacentral:rRNA from 1 species
UCUGCGGUGUCGGUCUACCGACUGCGGUACGACAGGCACGUCUGCGGGGCUUCUCGCCGGUGCGUCCACCGCCGGCACGUGCGCGCCUCCCGUGAGGGGGGCCGCGCGUCGAGGCGGGCCGUUGCGGCUGUUUACUUUGAACAAAUUAGAGUGCUCAAAGCGGGCUUUGUCUUGCCUGAAUAUUGUACGCAUGGAAUAAUAGAAUAGGACCUCGGUUCUGUUUUGUUGGCUUUCUGAUACCAGAGGUAAUGAUUAAUAGGGACAACUGGGGGCAUUCGUAUUGCGACGUUAGAGGUGAAAUUCUUGGAUCGUCGCAAGACGGACUAAAGCGAAAGCAUUUGCCAAAGGUGUUUUCAUUAAUCAAGAACGAAAGUUAGAGGUUCNAAGGCGAUUAGAUACCGCUGUAGUUCUAACCAUAAAUGAUGCCAGCCAGCGAUCCGCCGACGUUUCAUAAAUUUAACCCGGUGGGCAGCUCCCGGGAAACCAANNCUUUC